rnacentral:rRNA from 1 species
UACGUAGGGUGCGAGCGUUGUCCGGAAUUACUGGGCGUAAAGAGCUCGUAGGUGGUUUGUCGCGUUGUUCGUGAAAACUCACAGCUUAACUGUGGGCGUGCGGGCGAUACGGGCAGACUGGAGUACUGCAGGGGAGACUGGAAUUCCUGGUGUAGCGGUGGAAUGCGCAGAUAUCAGGAGGAACACCGGUGGCGAAGGCGGGUCUCUGGGCCGAUACUGACGCUGAGGAGCGAAAGCGUGGGGAGCAAGCAGG